AUUGAACGCUGGCGGCAUGCCUUACACAUGCAAGUCGAACGGCAGCGCGGGGCAACCUGGCGGCGAGUGGCGAACGGGUGAGUAAUAUAUCGGAACAUACCCUAGAGUGGGGAUAACGUAGCGAAAGUUACGCUAAUACCGCAUACGCACUAAGGUGGAAAGUGGGGGAUCUUCGGACCUCAUGCUCAUGGAGUGGCCGAUAUCUGAUUAGCUAGUUGGUGAGGUAAAGGCUCACCAAGGCGACGAUCAGUAGCGGGUCUGAGAGGAUGAUCCGCCACACUGGGACUGAGACACGGCCCAGACUCCUACGGGAGGCAGCAGUGGGGAAUUUUGGGACAAUGGGCGAAAGCCUGAUCCAGCCAUUCCGCGUGAGUGAAGAAGGCCUU
rnacentral:rRNA from 1 species